rnacentral:rRNA from 1 species
GACGAACGCUGGCGGCGUGCCUAAUACAUGCAAGUCGAACAGUCUUUUCUAUGGAAGCUUGCUUCCGCUGAGAAGAUAGUGGCGAACGGGUGAGUAACGCGUGAGAAACCUGCCUUUCACAAAGGGAUAGCCUCGGGAAACUGGGAUUAAUACCUUAUGAUACUUACAUUUCACAUGAGAAGUAAGUUAAAGCGCAAAGCGGUGAAAGAUGGUCUCGCGUCCCAUUAGUUAGUUGGUGAGGUAACGGCUCACCAAGACCCGCGAUGGGUAGCCGGGCCUGAGAGGGUGAACGGCCACACUGGAACUGAGACACGGUCCAGACUCCUACGGGAGGCAGCAGU